UGGGGAAUAUUGCACAAUGGGCGCAAGCCUGAUGCAGCCAUGCCGCGUGUAUGAAGAAGGCCUUCGGGUUGUAAAGUACUUUCAGUCGGGAGGAAGGUGGUAAGGUUAAUAACCUUAUCAAUUGACGUUACCGACAGAAGAAGCACCGGCUAACUCCGUGCCAGCAGCCGCGGUAAUACGGAGGGUGCAAGCGUUAAUCGGAAUUACUGGGCGUAAAGCGCACGCAGGCGGUUUGUUAAGUCAGAUGUGAAAUCCCCGGGCUCAACCUGGGAACUGCAUCUGAUACUGGCAAGCUUGAGUGUCGUAGAGGGGGGUAGAAUUCCAGGUGUAGCGGUGAAAUGCGUAGAGAUCUGGAGGAAUACCGGUGGCGAAGGCGGCCCCCUGGACGAAGACUGACGCUCAGGUGCGAAAGCGUGGGGAGCAAACAGG
rnacentral:rRNA from 1 species